rnacentral:rRNA from 1 species
UUAUCGGAGAGUUUGAUCCUGGCUCAGGACGAACGCUGGCGGCGUGCCUAAUACAUGCAAGUCGAGCGGACAGAUGGGAGCUUGCUCCCUGAUGUUAGCGGCGGACGGGUGAGUAACACGUGGGUAACCUGCCUGUAAGACUGGGAUAACUCCGGGAAACCGGGGCUAAUACCGGAUGGUUGUUUGAACCGCAUGGUUCAAACAUAAAAGGUGGCUUCGGCUACCACUUACAGAUGGACCCGCGGCGCAUUAGCUAGUUGGUGAGGUAACGGCUCACCAAGGCAACGAUGCGUAGCCGACCUGAGAGGGUGAUCGGCCACACUGGGACUGAGACACUACCAGACUCCUACGGGAGGCAGCAGUAGGGAAUCUUCCGCAAUGGACGAAAGUCUGACGGAGCAACGCCGCGUGAGUGAUGAAGGUUUUCGGAUCGUAAAGCUCUGUUGUUAGGGAAGAACAAGUACCGUUCGAAUAGGGCGGUACCUUGACGGUACCUAACCAGAAAGCCACGGCUAACUACGUGCCAGCAGCCGCGGUAAUACGUAGGUGGCAAGCGUUGUCCGGAAUUAUUGGGCGUAAAGGGCUCGCAGGCGGUUUCUUAAGUCUGAUGUGAAAGCCCCCGGCUCAACCGGGGAGGGUCAUUGGAAACUGGGGAACUUGAGUGCAGAAGAGGAGAGUGGAAUUCCACGUGUAGCGGUGAAAUGCGUAGAGAUGUGGAGGAACACCAGUGGCGAAGGCGACUCUCUGGUCUGUAACUGACGCUGAGGAGCGAAAGCGUGGGGAGCGAACAGGAUUAGAUACCCUGGUAGUCCACGCCGUAAACGAUGAGUGCUAAGUGUUAGGGGGUUUCCGCCCCUUAGUGCUGCAGCUAACGCAUUAAGCACUCCGCCUGGGGAGUACGGUCGCAAGACUGAAACUCAAAGGAAUUGACGGGGGCCCGCACAAGCGGUGGAGCAUGUGGUUUAAUUCGAAGCAACGCGAAGAACCUUACCAGGUCUUGACAUCCUCUGACAAUCCUAGAGAUAGGACGUCCCCUUCGGGGGCAGAGUGACAGGUGGUGCAUGGUUGUCGUCAGCUCGUGUCGUGAGAUGUUGGGUUAAGUCCCGCAACGAGCGCAACCCUUGAUCUUAGUUGCCAGCAUUCAGUUGGGCACUCUAAGGUGACUGCCGGUGACAAACCGGAGGAAGGUGGGGAUGACGUCAAAUCAUCAUGCCCCUUAUGACCUGGGCUACACACGUGCUACAAUGGACAGAACAAAGGGCAGCGAAACCGCGAGGUUAAGCCAAUCCCACAAAUCUGUUCUCAGUUCGGAUCGCAGUCUGCAACUCGACUGCGUGAAGCUGGAAUCGCUAGUAAUCGCGGAUCAGCAUGCCGCGGUGAAUACGUUCCCGGGCCUUGUACACACCGCCCGUCACACCACGAGAGUUUGUAACACCCGAAGUCGGUGAGGUAACCUUUUAGGAGCCAGCCGCCGAAGGUGGGACAGAUGAUUGGGGUGAAGUCGUAACAAGGUAGCCGUAUCGGAAGGUGCGGCUGGAUCACCUCCUUU